rnacentral:rRNA from 1 species
AUAAACGUUUGCGGCGUGCCUGAUGCAUGCAAGUCGAACGCCCUGAUUUUUCGCAAGAUUGAUCAGGGAGUGGCGAACGGCUGAGUAACACGUAAGUGACCUGUCCUUAAGUGGGGGAUAACUUGCCGAAAGGCAGGCUAAUACCGCAUACGCUGGUAAGCGUUGGUUUACCAGCAAAGCUUUUGCGCUUGAGGAGGGGCUUGCGUCUGAUUAGCUAGUUGGUAAGGUAAUGGCUUACCAAGGCGAUGAUCAGUAGUUGGUCUGAGAGGACAACCAGCCAGACGGGGACUGAGAUACGGCCCUGACUCCUACGGGAGGCAGCAGCAAGGAAUUUUGCGCAAUGGGCGAAAGCCUGACGCAGCGACGCCGCGUGGGGGAUGACAGCCUUCGGGUUGUAAACCCCUUUUAUAUGUCAAGAAAAUGACGGUAGCAUAUGAAUAAGCACCGGCUAACUCCGU